AUAUCGGACAGCAAACUGCCCGAUAUGCAGGCCGGAUGGGAGCAGGGGAUAACCAAUGCGCUGGCGGGCCUUUCGGGGUUGAACAUGUGUUAUGAGGCGG
rfam:Pseudorhodobacter antarcticus strain CGMCC 1.10836 genome assembly, contig: Ga0079835_1024